UCCGCGCCACUCUCCUUACGCGGAGUCCCGACCCAUCGCCGAGUUCCGUGCUCACGCAUUAUGUAGACAUGUAAAUUCCUCGGACAAAGGCCACGAUGAGGGCGCCUCGGUUGGCUCCACAAAGCCGCCCCGUGCGGAGCUAACAGGUUCUGUCAGCUAGCAAAUUCUCCGCACGCCUGGGCGAGGGCGCUCCCGGCGGGUGAUGGAUGAAGGGACACCCCUCUUACCUGGAAGACGGAGAGGAAUGGAGACCAGAGGGGGAGGAGGCCGGCUCCCUAUUAUCCUCCGAGGCCCAGCCUUCGCUCUCACUCGUUAUCUGCCGUCAGCGCUCUGCCCCAGACGUCCGGCUGCUGGUGACUUUUGUUCAUUUCACAAAAGAUUUCUAAUCACAUUUUAGUCCCAGCAAAGAGAAGAAAAUUCCAUUUCCCACACACACACACACACACACAAAAAAAAACAGAACAAAUCAAAAAAGGAAGGUGGGGUAAGAGGGGAGAGGCAGUGUAUGAGGAACUUUUAAGAUAUUAUUUCCCCAUUCUUAGCCCCAAAUUUAAAGAAAAGAGCGGUUAGCGGGUAGCUUAAUCAAACUCCUGGACACACAGGCGCUAGUUAACGUCCAGCAGCACACCAGCUCCCGAGGUCUGCAACUCUGGGAUGUCUGUGGACAUUUUUAGCAGUCCGAUCCAGACCUUGGCAUACACGUUAACUGCAGACCCGGCUCUGGUCUCGCUGCUCUGGUCCAGUUUGGGGAAAGCACGGAUACCUGGGCCUCCAGAGUCAAGAGCUAAGAGGCCCGGGGAGAUCAAAAGGGACUUGGUAAUUAGCGAUUUCCGUCUCUAGUGGUCACUAACCCGACUUAAAACGCUAAGACAGUCUGCACCCGGCCAAUUUGCUGGAGACAAAAGCAAGGAGAACUGCCUCACGGCAGGCAGUUUCACUCUUUCAGAGAGGGGGUUGGGCGUGGGGGUGGGAAUUAAGCAGAAAUCACCUAUAGACCUAGUCGCAUCCCCGGGGCGUUUUGUGACUCAGGCAGCGCCAAGCCGAUUUGCAUUUGAGUUUUCUCUUUCCCAGUAAAGUUAAUUUUUGGACCGCCGCCUCUGAAAAGGGAGUCACUUAACGAAAGAAAAAGAGAGAAAGAGAUAUGAGAGUAAUAUGAAGCAUGAAGCCGACUACGUUGCUCAAGAUGUAGGCGCUCUGCUGUCUUGGGCAAUGAAUGAGCUGCCCUCUCGGCCUGCCCUGCCUGCCGGGAAUUCGGCUCCGGGAACCUGUAGGAGAAAAUGAAACGUCUUCAUGUGUCCAUGUUUGAAGUCUCUUCAGAUCUGUCGAGCACGGAGGCGUUAGCGAGGACUAGGCUGUUUUUCCGCUGAGAAAAUGAGCUCUUGUUGGCUGAACAAAACUUUCCUUACAACUGCAGUAGUCAACAUUCUCAAAGUCGCAUAUAAGUCUGCCUCCCUAAAUCAGUCAAACUAAGGAAACACAAUUGCUAUUAGAAGCAAAGGCCCCUAACAUCAGAACAUCUUCCUUCCUAAACCAGAAGCGGUCAUUCAUUCGUAAAGGGGGAAAUCCGACUUGCUAGAGAGACUCCUAGUUUCCCAGUUGUAGGAAAGUUCGCUACAUUCAACAAGUUUCGUGCAAACGCCUUAAAUGCAUUCAGAACUGGUCGCCCGGUCUGGUGGGGGGAUUGUGAAAGCGUGCUGGCCUUCCAGGACAAAAUAAUAAUGUCAAAGAACUAUUAACUCUCGCCUCGCUGUUUCUUUCUACCUUCCCAAGGAAAGAGCCAAGUCAAAAGACAGUCACAGCAUCCACUCAGGUCGGCGUCCAUGUCUUCCAGUGGGGCAGACCACGAUUCCACGGGGUUUCUGCAUAAAGGAAGCUGGAAUCCGGGCUCACAGAGCCCACCUAACUUUCAGGCUUCACCUUCAGGCCCUGUUUCCCGCCGCCGGUCCCAAGAGAAAGAUCUCGUGUUGGUUCUCCGUUCUCCGGGCAAAGGGCGGAGUCCCGCAGAAGCCCGAAAGCUGAGGGGUUUCCUAUCCGCAGACUUUUUAUCUCUGGAGAUCCUCUUCCUCAGAAGACUUUGUAGCGGAAGAUUGGAUCACAGAAUCUUGUACUUCUUCUGUGCUAGGCACUGAAUUAAUAAGCAUUUUCUCACUUAGUCCUCCUAACCCUACGAGUGUAGUCUCUGUUUUCCACAGGAAGAAACUGAGGUUAUAAGUCACUCUCUGUGACGUGUGUUAGUGGGGAUCAGGACUGAACCACAGCUUCUUUGUUCCCAGGUCCACCACCAUUGAGGAAGGUCUGACUUCCCGUCAGUUCACCCACCUAUCACCCCAUCACCCAGGGCCUACUGUAUGACCAGCUCUGUUCCUAGUCCUGGCAUUUCGUUUAAAUACCCAACCUAAAUUUAGCUCCCAAAACUUUUCUUUUUCUGUUGGACUUCAUUUCCCUGCUUCUGUAGUGCUACAGAUUCCAAUUUUUAACAUCACUUACUGCUAUAGAGAAGGAUCUGAUUAUGGUUCUAGUUAAUAGAAUCCCUCACAGGAAGGCCCAGCACUACCUUCUUCUUAGAGAAUAGGAUAGGCGGGUAGGUGAUGCUAUUUUGCCAAGGGCACAGAGUCAGAAAUAGAAUCUAAGGGCAAUGUCCCAAACUCCUUAGCUCUUAGAACUUCUCUCCCCUAAGCCUGACAAGUUUGGCUUUCUGAACUUAAUGUUUUUUGAUUUAUCAUCCUUCAGGAUUAUUUUGUUGUUGCUGUUAGAUUUUUUAGACUAAUAAAUCACUGGGCACGUAAAUAA